rnacentral:tRNA from 1 species
GCCGGGAUAGCUCAGUUGGUAGAGCAGAGGACUGAAAAUCCUCGUGUCAA